GGGAAUUUUGGACAAUGGGGGAAACCCUGAUCCAGCCAUCCCGCGUGUAUGAUGAAGGCCUUCGGGUUGUAAAGUACUUUUGGCAGAGAAGAAAAGGUAUCCCCUAAUACGGGAUGCUGCUGACGGUAUCUGCAGAAUAAGCACCGGCUAACUACGUGCCAGCAGCCGCGGUAAUACGUAGGGUGCAAGCGUUAAUCGGAAUUACUGGGCGUAAAGCGUGUGUAGGCGGUUCGGAAAGAAAGAUGUGAAAUCCCAGGGCUCAACCUUGGAACUGCAUUUUUAACUGCCGAGCUAGAGUAUGUCAGAGGGGGGUAGAAUUCCACGUGUAGCAGUGAAAUGCGUAGAUAUGUGGAGGAAUACCGAUGGCGAAGGCAGCCCCCUGGGAUAAUACUGACGCUCAGACACGAAAGCGUGGGGAGCAAACAGG
rnacentral:rRNA from 1 species